rnacentral:rRNA from 1 species
CAAGGAAUUUUGUGCAAUGGGCGAAAGCCUGACACAGCGACACCGCGUGGAGGAUGAAGGUUUUCGGAUCGUAAACUCCUUUUCUCGGGGAUGAAUAAUGACAGUACCUGAGGAAUAAGUCAUGGCUAACUACGUGCCAGCAGCCGCGGUAAUACGUAGGUGGCGAGCGUUAUCCGGAUUUACUGGGCGUAAAGUGGGUGCAGACGGUUUUUCAAGUCGGAUGUAAAAUCUCUCAGCUUAACUGAGAGCGAUCACCCGAUACUGAGGAACUAGAGGAUAACAGGGGGAGGUAGAAUUCCCGGUGUAGUGGUGAGAUGCGUAGAUAUCGGGAGGAAUACCAGUGGCGAAGGCGGCCUCCUGGGUUAUUUCUGACGUUCAUGCCCGAAGGUGUGGGGAGCAAACAGGAUUAGAUACCCUGGUAGUCCACACUGUAAACGUUGUGUGCUAGGUGUCGCGGGUAUUGACCCCUGCGGUGCCGUCGUUAACGCAUUUAGCACACCGCCUGGGGAGUACGGUCGCAAGGCUA